GCUCCUCCUGUGGCAGAGGGUGGAGGAGAAAAGGAGGCCCGGGGCAGCCCAGCCCAGUGUGGGUACUAUGGUCUAUGUCACCAUGGCUUGGACUCUUCUAGUCCUCAUGCUUCUGUCUCAAUGGACAGUUUCCCUGUCCCAGCCUGUGCUGACCCAGCCGUCCUCCCUGUCUGCAUCUCCGGGAACAACAGCCAGACUCACCUGCACCCUGAGCAGUGGCUACAACGUUGGCGGCUACCACAUAUACUGGUACCAGCAGAAACAAGGGACCUCUCCCCGGUAUCUACUGAGGUUCUACUCAGACUCAAAUAAGCACCAGGGCCCUGGGGUCCCCAGCCGCUUCUCUGGGUCCAAAGAUGCCUCGGCCAAUGCAGGGCUUCUGCUCAUCUCUGGGCCGCAGCCUGAGGACGAGGCUGACUAUUACUGUGCUACAAGUUAUGGCAGUGGGAGCAGCUACCAUUACUCACAGUGACACAGAUAACGAGGAAGUGAGACCAAAACCCCUGGGUCCACAGUCCUUGUCUCCGAGCCUCUUUUUUUGAGAAGCUUCUGUGGAGGCUCCUGUAGGGGAGAGUCCUCUAUGGUGAGACCUGUCCUUGAGGAGGUUGAAGUGACACACAAGAAAUUUAAUAGAGAACAUUUGGGAAUCAACGGAGACCUAGAAAGUCAAAAGACACGCAGGCAAAAUGAGAUCUAUGUUUUUCUGAAUUACAUGGAAGGAGGUAGGGGUCUAGUAUUCAAUGCAAAGAAAUGCACAUCACGGAC